rnacentral:lncRNA from 1 species
GGGGACUCGGCCGCCAUGUUAGGAGUGCCGGGAACAGUCCGCGGAUCCUGGCUGAGGUUUUAGGCAGCGCGCGAGCCGAAUGGUGGUGCGGUGGGGACGUACAACAAUGGGAAAGGCUCAUACAAAUAUUUCUGGUAUUCAGAAACACCUUUGCAAGUAAUUGUGGACACAGAUGCCAAAAUUUAAAAAGUACUUCUGCAUACGUAUAUUCAGUGAAAAAUCAAACUCUACCACAUGGACAAGCAUUGCUUAAUUAAGGUGUGUAAUACAGUUUUGGGGGUUUUUUUUUAGGGAAAUGAACAAAUUAUAUCUUCAUCUAAAGCAUUUGAUUAAAGAAAUUAAGCCCUACAGUACUCUAUUAUAGACAUCCAAAGUAUCAAUAUUUGGGGGCACAGUUUCAAUCCUAAAUCCAUUUCUUAGAUUCUGUAAGUACAUAUUGAGUAAUUACCAACUUAAAUACCCUGGAGAUACAAAGAUGACUAUGAC